CCUACGGGAGGCUGCAGUGGGGAAUAUUGGACAAUGGGGGGAACCCUGAUCCAGCCAUGCCGCGUGUGUGAAGAAGGCCCUCGGGUUGUAAAGCACUUUCAGUGAGGAAGAACGCCUGGUGGUUUAUACCCAUCAGGAAAGACAUCACUCACAGAAGAAGCACCGGCUAACUCCGUGCCAGCAGCCGCGGUAAUACGGAGGGUGCGAGCGUUAAUCGGAAUUACUGGGCGUAAAGCGCGCGUAGGUGGCUUGAUAAGCCGGUUGUGAAAGCCCCGGGCUCAACCUGGGAACGGCAUCCGGAACUGUCAAGCUAGAGUGCAGGAGAGGAAGGUAGAAUUCCCGGUGUAGCGGUGAAAUGCGUAGAGAUCGGGAGGAAUACCAGUGGCGAAGGCGGACUUCUGGACUGACACUGACACUGAGGUGCGAAAGCGUGGGUAGCAAACAGGAUUAGAUACCCCGGUAGUC
rnacentral:rRNA from 1 species